UUAUUUGCUGUUGUUUGUCCUCUGGGCUAAUAGGGCAUGCGUUCAUAUUUGAUGACAUCGCAAAUCACAUCAAUCACCUUCCUGAUUGUUCAAACAACGAAAUUCGAGACCAUUGUCAUGGUAGAGCGCAACAUUGCAAAAGAGAACACGAAGUUUUGGGAGUGCAUUUAUACUAUUGUGAUUGCCAACCUGGCUUUCAUGGAGCUACUUGUGAACAAGAUUCUUGCUAUGACCAGCACUGUACCAAUGGACAAGGUCUUUGCCAUUUGUUGGACACAGAUCCAUACUUUGAGUGUAAAUGCAAACCUGGAUACUCUGGGACAUAUUGUGAAGCUUCAUCCAUAACCACAACGUCAGCACCUACAGUUACGACAACCCUUCCAACAACAACAACAACAACAACAACAACGAAAACCAACCCUGUAUACCAGUAUUGCAACAAAUAC